rnacentral:rRNA from 1 species
AGAGUUUGAUCCUGGCUCAGGACGAACGCUGGCGGCGUGCUUAACACAUGCAAGUCUACGAGAACGAGGUAGCAAUAUCUUUAGUAAAGUGGCGCACGGGUGAGUAACACGUAAGUAAUCUACCUUUGGGUCUGGAAUAACUUCGAGAAAUCGAGGCUAAUACCGGAUAAUGCAGCGGCACCGCAUGGUGAUGUUGUUAAAGUUUGCGUAAUGCCUAAAGAUGAGCUUGCGUCUGAUUAGCUAGUUGGUAGAGUAACAGCCUACCAAGGCAACGAUCAGUAGCUGGUCUGAGAGGAUGAUCAGCCACACUGGAACUGAGACACGGUCCAGACUCCUACGGGAGGCAGCAGUGAGGAAUAUUGGGCAAUGCCCGCAAGGGUGACCCAGCAACGCCGCGUGGAGGAUGAAUGUCG